rnacentral:lncRNA from 1 species
AGCAGAACCACGGGCACGGUGAUGAUGGUGACAAGCGCAGCAGCACCCAGCAGUCCCAGAAGAACCUUCCACGGUGUCUGCAAGCCGAGCAGAUCAAGUCCAAUUAGAGGGAAGCGUGUGGCCCCAGUUUCCGUAGGAGGGUCGGGGCUGCUCCAGAGGCAGCAGGAUUUGCAGGAAGGAAGACUGUACACAGAGAAUAAAUAACUUGGCCAAGCCAUUCAGCUAGGAAGUUGUAGAUCCUAAAUUAAGAGUUCAAGGUCUUAAUGGCUACUCUAUGCGGCCUCUCAUAGUCUUUUCAAGGGUUUUGGAGAAGAAUAAAAGAUCAGAUGAGUCAAUGGUGUUACUGGACCCUGUGAACUGAUGCUGUGAAGAGAGGCCAUUUAACACGGACUACGGGGAAUGGUGCCACAGGGGGCUCAGUGCUGCCCUUCACUCUCAGCAUUUUGCUCACUCAGCAUUGAUGACAGGAUGUCCCAAAAGUAACAAAAGAUGGGAGCCAGUCCUCUCAUAGCUGUUUCUUCAAUCAUCCCAUCAACAGCUCUUCAUUUAUUGAACUACCUUCCUUUUCCAAAGAGGUAAUGCUGAGAUCAGUCAGAAAGGCUUUCUGAGAAAACUGGCUUGGAUUUCUGGGUCUGUUGCAGUCAAUUCAAGAUGAACUGGCUUGUAUCAAUGAAGCGCUCAAUGCAGUUCACAAAACAGGCCUCAGCCCGACUGUCCAACUUUGGCCCAGGCUUGUCCAUGCACUUCUCCCAACAAAGUUCAGUCAUCUGGUGCACCAGCUGCUGGAAGCGCUGCUUUUGAGUCUCUACCUCAAUGAAAAUGCUGCAACUGCGGGUCCACUGCACCCAAACCCGCCGCAGAGGAAGAGCAGGAGGAAUCCAUCCCAGGACAACCAUGCUUGCAGAGACGAACUCCGCACCAACCUUCACGUGUCUCCACGACCUAGUUAAUCAAUUUAAAAUGAGGUCACUAGGGUGGGCCCCAAUCCAAUAUGACUGAUAACUUUAUAAAAAGGAGAGAUUUGGAUACAGAAAGAGACAGAGUGAAAACCAUGUGAAGAAACAUAGGAAAAGAUGGCAGCUACAAGCCAAGGAGAAGCUUGCAGUGUGUAUUCAUCUGUUCUCAUGCUGUUAAUAAAGACAUACCUGAGACUGGGUAAUUUAUAAA